UAACCGUGGCUCAGUUCAGAUCGUAGGCUGCAACUCGCCUACGUGAAGGAGGAAUCGCUAGUAAUCGCAGGUCAGCAUACUGCGGUGAAUACGUUCCCGGGCCUUGUACACACCGCCCGUCACACCAUGGAAGUUGGCCACGCCCGAAGCCGUUACUCCAACCCUUGUGGAGGAGGACGUCGAAGGUGGGGCUGAUGACUGGGGUGAAGUCGUAACAAGGUAGCCGUACCGGAAGGUGCGGCUGGAUCACCUCCUAACA
rnacentral:rRNA from 1 species